UGUGCAGCUACGUUGCAUUUGUAUAUUUUAAAAUCUUGGCGCAUGAUAGUUGGGACACCCUGUAUACUACGUGAUGCAAUGCAAAUACUGCGAAUACGGUAGAAAGAAAGUCUUGCGCACACUAAACGAAGAUAACAAGAAAAGGACACAAAAACGGCGGUAGUGUUUUGUCCUCUUCUUUUUGUCUUCGUUUAGUGCGCGUAAAACUUUCCACAAUCAAGUCUAACCAACUAGCCCGCCUCUCAGUCUUAUUGCCUAAUACUGUAGUAUUUGCGCAGCAUGGUACGUGGGUUGUAUAGUUGUCCCUCGAGAGUGGGUACGCAUAGUACAAAUUAAGCUGCAUUUUCAUGACGAUAAACAAUUAGUAGGUCGUUCAGAGCUAACAAAUAAACACCCUUUUGCCUU